rnacentral:piRNA from 1 species
UGCCUGUUCCACUAUUCAUAUGCUGAUGGU